AUUGAACGCUGGCGGCAUGCCUUACACAUGCAAGUCGAACGGCAGCACGGGUGCUUGCACCUGGUGGCGAGUGGCGAACGGGUGAGUAAUACAUCGGAACAUGUCCUGUAGUGGGGGAUAGCCCGGCGAAAGCCGGAUUAAUACCGCAUACGAUCUACGGAUGAAAGCGGGGGACCUUCGGGCCUCGCGCUAUAGGGUUGGCCGAUGGCUGAUUAGCUAGUUGGUGGGGUCAAGGCCUACCAAGGCGACGAUCAGUAGCUGGUCUGAGAGGACGACCAGCCACACUGGGACUGAGACACGGCCCAGACUCCUACGGGAGGCAGCAGUGGGGAAUUUUGGACAAUGGGCGAAAGCCUGAUCCAGCAAUGCCGCGUGUGUGAAGAAGGCCUUCGGGUUGUAAAGCACUUUUGUCCGGAAAGAAAUCCUUGGCCCUAAUACGGUCGGGGGAUGACGGUACCGGAAGAAUAAGCACCGGCUAACUACGUG
rnacentral:rRNA from 1 species